ACGUAGGGGGCUAGCGUUAUCCGGAUUUACUGGGCGUAAAGGGUGCGUAGGCGGUCUUUCAAGUCAGGAGUGAAAGGCUACGGCUCAACCGUAGUAAGCUCUUGAAACUGGGAGACUUGAGUGCAGGAGAGGCGAGUGGAAUUCCUAGUGUAGCGGUGAAAUGCGUAGAUAUUAGGAGGAACACCAGUUGCGAAGGCGGCUCUCUGGACUGUAACUGACGCUGAGGCACGAAAGCGUGGGGAGCAAACAGGAUUAGAUACCCUGGUAGUCCACGCUGUAAACGAUGAGUACUAGGUGUCGGGGGUUACGCCCCUCGGUGCCGCAGCUAACGCAUGAAGUACUCCGCCUGGGAAGUACGCUCGCAAGAG
rnacentral:rRNA from 1 species